rnacentral:rRNA from 1 species
GUAGGGGGGCCAAGCGUUGUCCGGAAUUAUUGGGCGUAAAGAGCUCGUAGGGCGGUUUGGUAAGUCGGAUGUGAAAUCUCCGCGCUCAACGCGGAGCGGCCAUUCGGAACUGCCCAUGACUUGAGUCCGGCAGGGGAGUGUGGAAUUCCCGGUGUAGCGGUGAAAUGCGCAGAUAUCGGGAGGAACACCCGUAGCGAAGGCGGCACUCUGGGCCGGUACUGACGCUGAGGAGCGAAAGCAUGGGGAGCGAACAGGAUUAGAUACCCUGGUAGUCCAUGCCGUAAACGUUGGGCACUAGGUGUGGGACCCUAUCGACGGGUUCCGUGCCGUAGCUAACGCAUUAAGUGCCCCGCCUGGGGAGUACGGCCGCAAGGCUA